GACGUAGGGCGCGAGCGUUGUCCGGAUUUAUUGGGCGUAAAGAGCUCGUAGGCGGCUCGUUGCGUCGGCUUUGAAAACCCGCAGCUCAACUGUGGGCUUGCAGCCGAUACGGGCGGGCUGGAGUUCGGUAGGGGAGACUGGAAUUCCUGGUGUAGCGGUGAAAUGCGCAGAUAUCAGGAGGAACACCGGUGGCGAAGGCGGGUCUCUGGGCCGAUACUGACGCUGGGGAGCGAAAGCGUGGGGAGCGAACAGG
rnacentral:rRNA from 1 species